UAGAGCUCGCUGAUUGGCUGAAAGUGUUCAACAGCCACUACACUGAGCCAGCAUCGCGAGGAGGGAAUUUGAAAUGUUUAUUAUUAUUUGCAGGGCUGGAAAAAAUUCUACUCUCAGGAACUGUUGGAGGUGGAUUUAGCAUUGGUACUUCAGCGACACCAACCCAACCGGUUUCUAGAUUCAAGUUAGGUGGUCAAGGGUCCACAGGCCUAAAUCUUGGUGGUGGUAAAACUAUUGGGCAAGUGGCAACAACACUGAAGCUUGGUGGUAUUGCAACAUCUACAGACAUAACUACUACUCUUCUCUAGGAGGUCUUUCAUUUUCUGCUACAACAACUGCAUGCGGUUUAACAUUAGGAGGCACAAUCAACACCUUUGCUGGAACAACAGGAACAGGUCUCACUUUGUGAGGAGUAGCAUUUACAGGUGGCCUCAGUACAGGUGGUCUUGGAACUGGUGGCCUGGGUAUAGGUGGUCUUGGUGCAAAAAAACCUCCUAGUCUUGGAGCCGGAUUAGAAAUUGUUGGAACCGCGACACCCCCUGCCCUGCUGUCAGUACAGCUGGUAAAGGAUUAGAAGGGGUAGAUCCAGCUUCAUUGAAAACUAAUACAGUCAGCACUACUAAUGGAAGCACAAGUACAAGAGAUUAUGUGAAAAAACAGAAGGCCAUAGUUCAAGAGAUCGACCGUAUCUCACUAAAGCCGAUGCACAAAGUGAAAGAAGACAUGCUAGCUCUACGUCAGCUGCUGUCCGUUGUUGCCAACAGUCUGCAGACGAACACCAUGGCGAUCUAUAAGCUUUAGACGGACUCAGCAUAUGAACUAAAAAAUGUGACAUGGCACACCGAACCCAUGACGUACCCUGUCCCUGCAGAUGGACCAUACCGCCCCUGCAGAUUACCUUACAGAUAUUUUCAGAGCUUUGAAGAGGAGAUGCAGCUAUACCAUCAAGAAAUUGAGCAGAUAGAGAGCGACCUGAUGUCACUCUCGAGGCCUUAUGUGCGGAUCUUCUGUAGUAUGCAAAUUUAGUACUGCAAUGAACCUGCUAAAUGUUAGUAUGGUAGUAACAAAACUUAAUAUAAAAUAUUAAUACAAACAGAAAGUACUAAAAAAAUUAACAAAACUAAUGACAUAAUAAAAGUUUUUAAGACACAUGAUGAUUUUGCCAGGCACACACUCUAUCUUUUAUGGCCAUAUGCUUUCCACAUAAAAAAAAAAUAUCAAGGCGUCUUAAAACCACUAAUUAAAGUAUUAAUAGUCAUGAGAAAAGGGGACAAAGUU